CGUGUGCCUGUUUUUUGUAAUUUUUUCUGUAUUUUUUUUUUAUAUGUUAAAGAAAUUUAAUGUAUACUAUAUUUUGACCCGCUUUAAAAGAGCUGGUAUUUUUUUUUUUUUUACAUUUUUGUUGAAAUUUAAUUUUUAUAUUUGUGUUUUUAGUUAUAUAUAUGUUUUUCUUUGUAUAAUGUUUAUCUUAAAUGAUUAAUAAGAUAUUUUAAUAAUUAUAUUAAAAUAAUUGAACCAUACUUAUAUCAA
rnacentral:lncRNA from 1 species